GUUGAUGAAUACUGUACUGAAGGUAAAGCUCUGUGGUCAGUAUCUGAUGAUGGACAAUUAAGAAUAUUUGACAUUAGAAAUAAAACAAUGAUCAGUAAUUAUGUUCAUAAUAAUCCUACUCCUUUAAUGAGAGGAGUCACCAUUGAUAGUGAAGAUAAACUGAUCAUUGGAAAUGAAAAUGGAGAACUGAUACUACUGGACUUAAGACAUAUCAAAGAAUGGGGUGUGCAUUAAUUGGAGUUAUAAUGACGACACAUUACUCAAUGAUCAUAUAACUGGUACUGAUAUUGAUCCAAUAAGUUCAAUAGUGAGAAGACAUCAUGUGACAUACACUAGUUCUAGGGAUGGACGUGUACGUAUGUAUGAGAACAUUUAAGGAAUAAAUUAAUUAUUUAUGUGAUAUU